UUUCUUAGGGAGGACUGCAGCGCACUCUGAGGACGAUUGUGCAGCUUGUCGCCCCGGGUUGUAUUGCCCCUCGUGGGCUCAGACGUCAGAGGACCUCCUUUGUCCCCCCGGAUGGUUCUGUCCAACAGGAUCAUCGUCUGGACAUCAGCCAGGACACCAGUGCCCACCUGGCUACGCUUGUCCACCUGGUUGUGCAGAGCCAGUCAUCUGCGGUCCAGGCACUUUUCAGUCUUUAUCUGGCCAGCCAGUUUGUGACAGCUGCCCACCUGGUUUUUACUGUCUUGAAGGUUCUUCUAUUCCGUCUCCGUGUCCAGUGGGCUAUGUCAGUCCAUUAGCUGACAGGAUGUCCCUGAGCGAAUGCUCCCCCUGCCCCUCCGGCCGCUUUUGUAACAGCAAAGCUCUGACAGAACCGUCUGGACCCUGCAGCCCAGGGCAUUUUUGUUCCCAGGGGUCCACCGAGCCUUCACCUCUCUCCCAGCCGUAUGGUGAUGUGUGUCCCAUGGGGCACUUCUGUCCUCAGGGAAGUGGGUCACCCAAACCCUGUCCUGUUGGCAGUUUCCUUCCUGACACGGGAGCUUCAUCCCACUCCCAAUGCCGUCCUUGUCCCCCAGGGAAGUACUGCCAAACUCCCGGAGCCUCACAACCCUCAGGUUUAUGUUAUACAGGUUUCUUCUGUGUUGGAGGAGCUGAUAGCCCCACACCGCGAGCCAACUCAUCUGUUUUUAAUUGUCUUGUGGAAAUCCUGAACCUUUACUCGAUGAAAAUAGACACUGUCUUCUGGAUUCAUAAUCUCUCCUGCUCCAACUUUUCUGGUAAAUCAUGUAUUAGUAUAUAUUUCUUGAUGUUAAAGAGA